rnacentral:rRNA from 1 species
GCCUACGGGGGGCAGCAGUAGGGAAUCUUCCACAAUGGGCGAAAGCCUGAUGGAGCAACGCCGCGUGGGUGAAGAAGGUCUUCGGAUCGUAAAACCCUGUUGUUAGAGAAGAAAGUGCGUGAGAGUAACUGUUCACGUUUCGACGGUAUCUAACCAGAAAGCCACGGCUAACUACGUGCCAGCAGCCGCGGUAAUACGUAGGUGGCAAGCGUUAUCCGGAUUUAUUGGGCGUAAAGGGAACGCAGGCGGUCUUUUGAGUCUGAUGUGAAAGCCUUCGGCUUAACCGGAGUAGUGCAUUGGAAACU